GUAGGGAAUAUUAGAAAUGGACGAAAGUCUGAUCUAGCAACACCGCGUGUGCGAAGAAGGCCUUCGGGUCGUAAAGCACUUUUUGGAAGGAAUAGGAAGGAAUGUACUUCCAGAAUAAGUCUCGGCUAACUACGUGCCAGCAGCCGCGGUAACACGUAGGAGGCAAACGUUAUCCGGAUUUACUGGGCGUAAAGCGCGUGUAGGUGGUACUGUAAGUAGGGCGUGAAAGCUCCUGGCUCAACUGGGAGAGGCCGUUCUAAACUACAGAACUAGAGGAUGGUAGAGGGAGGUGGAAUUCCAGGUGUAGCGGUGGAAUGCGCAGAUAUCUGGAGGAACACCGGUGGCGAAGGCGGCCUCCUGGACCAUUCCUGACACUCAGACGCGAAAGCUAGGGUAGCAAACGGGAUUAGAAACCCGGGUAGUCC
rnacentral:rRNA from 1 species